AGUAAUACAUCGGAACGUAUCCAGUAGCGGGGGAUAACCUCUCGAAAGAGAAGCUAAUACCGCAUACGACCUAUGGGUGAAAGCGGGGGAUCGCAAGACCUCGCACUAUUGGAGCGGCCGAUGUCGGAUUAGCUAGUUGGUGAGGUAAAAGCCCACCAAGGCUACGAUUCGUAGCUGGUCUGAGAGGACGACCAGCCACACUGGAACUGAGACACGGUCCAG
rnacentral:rRNA from 1 species